UUUAUGGAACAACAAAGCUUGGUUAUUUGGAGAGCAGUCCCCUGCCUGCAGGUCUGCUGUUUCCUCCAGCAACCCUGGGCAAAUGGUACAACUUCUACAGAACACUCUUGAAAGUAUCCAAGUUCUGCGGGUAGAUGUGAUCUGUUUUAUUAGACCAACAAAAUAGUUGGGAAAAUUGUUCUUUGCAAGCUUUUGGGUACAAACACCCUUCUUCAGGCAUAGGGAGAGUCUGCUGCUGUUUGUGUGCUCUCCAGGGUAUAAUAGAAACCAAUACAAAAUGCAAGUCUGUGAAAAUGCAAAUGUGUGACAGUGAGGAUCAAAGGGAGUAGGAAGUGGUAGGUGUGGGCCAGGAUGAAAACAGGUUCCCCAGAGUUAUCAGAUGGCAGGCAGGUUAUAAUGUGCCAUAAAUCCAGCAUCUAUAUUUAAUCCAUGAUUUUUUGUAUCCAGUAGAUUUAUGAAUUGAAGGUCGUAGGUUUGUCUACAACAAGUGUUUUGUAAAUUCCUUCAGAAAUGUAAUGCAUCUCAUUGUGUCAGGGUGGCUGAAACACCCUGCCACAGGAAAGCGGAGAAGAAUACAAGGAAAAGAAACCCAGAGAUGCUGAAGAAAGCGCGUGGAGCCGAAGUGGAAAAGACGUCAUGCCCCAACUAAUUAAAAAAACAGCUGGGGCCACGGCAGUCCAAAGGCUGCUGCGGCAAGCCCAGCUGCUGGAGGUUGUGCUCGGGACAGGGAUAGUGGUGCGGCAGAAGAAGAAGAAAAAAGCCACGCUGAAAAAGAAAAAGAAGAACAGCUGAGUCAAGAUGGCAGGGAAUCAGAUGGGCACAGCUGGGAAGAAAAGUUAAUUUAAAGGGAUGCUGAGGGAGCAUCGGGGGUCAGUUCGGACAGAAGGGGAGCAGGAUGAUGAUAGAAAGGAUGUCAAGAGACAACGGGAAAAGGAACCGACCCCGGGGCUUGGAGGAAAGCCCUGGUCCCCAGAUUAACCUGGAGAGAGCCAGCGAGGAGAUGGAGGAGAGUUCAGGCCCGAGGGGUGGCGAGAACCGCUUCAGGAUCCUGAAGGAGGAGAAGGGAGACAAGGAUGAGAUUACACCUCAAGGAGGGGUAAAUCCGUCCCGACGCUGAAGUGUUUGGUCCCUCUCUCGCACUGACAUCGAGGCACGGCCGGGGAGUUCUGAAAGACACAACACUACGCUUCCAGCGGAGAGGCAGCCCGGUUCCAGGAGGCACGUCACCGGCCGCUUACACUCAUCCGGUGCGCUGAAUGGAAGAUAUGUAGGAGAAACCAAACAACAACUGCGUCCCAGGAUGAACGAGCACCGAACAACUAUCAAAGACAAAAAUACCCACUGCCCGGUUUCUGCUGCAUUGCUGGCCAGCUUGGACUCCUCUGCAGUUCUGAAAUGCCCCAUGUUUUUUGUAAAGAUUUUUUGGAAAAAAACUUGUUGGUUGAGUAAAAGAUAUCAUCUCUA